AUCGCCUGGUCGGCUAACAGGAAAAUUCAAAUUGAAAAGUGCCUUUCAAGUGAAAAGACGUGCGAGGAAAAGUUUACGCGUGGAAUAUUAGCCAUUUCCGCCAGUUCACAAAAGAAAAAAAAAAGGUUUUGUGCCCCGUUUAACCGGGACCUUUAAUUCCCGCUGCCGAUCCUGCUACCAGAAGGUUGUCGAGCACCAGGAGACACAAGAGUGUUGGAAAACAAAAUUUUGGUGUUAAGCCUUUCUACCACCAAGGCAGCUGGAACGGCGACAAGUGCAUAUGUGAGGUGAACGACCGGGAAUACACAAGGAAUGAAACAAGGAGACCAAUUGCAAUACAUAGCUGAGAGGAG